GUGGGGAAUAUUGGACAAUGGGCGAAAGCCUGAUCCAGCCAUGCCGCGUGAGUGAUGAAGGCCCUAGGGUUGUAAAGCUCUUUCACCGGGGAAGAUAAUGACGGUACCCGGAGAAGAAGCCCCGGCUAACUUCGUGCCAGCAGCCGCGGUAAUACGAAGGGGGCUAGCGUUGUUCGGAAUUACUGGGCGUAAAGCGCACGUAGGCGGAUCGGUCAGUUAGGGGUGAAAUCCCAGGGCUCAACCCUGGAACUGCCUUUAAUACUGCCGGUCUAGAGUUCGAGAGAGGUGAGUGGAAUUCCGAGUGUAGAGGUGAAAUUCGUAGAUAUUCGGAGGAACACCAGUGGCGAAGGCGGCUCACUGGCUCGAUACUGACGCUGAGGUGCGAUAGCGUGGGGAGCAAACAGGAUUAGAAACCCUUGUAGUCC
rnacentral:rRNA from 1 species